rnacentral:rRNA from 1 species
UUUCCCUCAGGAUAGCUGGCACUCGCUUGAGCGAGUCUCAUCUGGUAAAGCGAAUGAUUAGAGGCCUUGGGGCCGAAACGACCUCAACCUAUUCUCAAACUUUAAAUGGGUGAGAUCUCUGGCUUGCUUGAACGUUGAAGCCACGAGAUUUAUUAUUAAAACUUGGAUCAGAGUGCCAAGUGGGCCAAUUUUGGUAAGCAGAACUGGCGCUGUGGGA